GACGAACGCUGGCGGCGUGCUUAACACAUGCAAGUCGAGCGGUAAGGCCCUUUCGGGGGUACACGAGCGGCGAACGGGUGAGUAACACGUGGGUGACCUGCCCUCAGCUCUGGGAUAAGCCUGGGAAACCGGGUCUAAUACUGGAUAUGACUCCAUGACGCAUGUUGUGGGGUGGAAAGCCUUGUGCGGCUGAGGAUGGGCCCGCGGCCUAUCAGCUUGUUGGUGGGGUGAGGCCUACCAAGGCGACGACGGGUAGCCGGCCUGAGAGGGCGACCGGCCACACUGGGACUGAGACACGGCCCAGACUCCUACGGGAGGCAGCAGUGGGGAAUCUUGCGCAAUGGGCGAAAGCCUGACGCAGCGACGCCGCGUGAGGGAUGACGGCCUGGUUGUAA
rnacentral:rRNA from 1 species